AAAUGCAGGUUUUAUUUUUAAUCACUCUGCAAUAAAACAGAAAGCUCUUAAGAUGUAGCUUUGAAUUGUACAUGUCACUAUUUAUUCCUGUCCCCUGGCAUGCUCAGCACACGUGUAAUUCCAUGCUAACCUGGACAUUUUCCUCCUUUGUGUGGCUGUAUCGAGUGCCUGAGCACUUGAGAACUCACUUGUAUAAUCGAUACACUUACAAAAGGGAACAUAUAAAUAACGUGAAGAGUCUGACUUGAACUGACAGUGGGGGUAUCGCAGCGAGGGCUAAUGCCUCCUCCUUAACUCAUGCUGCUGCUGGAGAGGAGAAAACCACACACAACAGACUGAGUUAAGGACUAACAUGAGAUUUCCCAGCAUUUCCAAGCAGCGUGGUUCAAGGCAGAAAGCUUCCUGAUACCUGCAGUGCAAAAUCCUGGAGCUAAGUUGUCUACCUGUUCUUGGAUUUAGUUGCUGUUUGCUUUUCCUCUCCUUAAUUUUAAAAGGGAAUUAACAUUUCUCCUAGAAGACUAUGAUGAUGCAGCUCAGCAGAGACUCACCAACUCGAGGUUUAGCAUCAGCAAGUAUUUUUACCUCCAGCACAGGCAGUUUUGUUCCUUCAGCAAGGCAUGGCCGGAGGAACACUGGAUACCUGAAACUCCUGGGAGAAGACUGCGUUUCCUGGGGUUCCAUCCUUGGCUUUCCUGCACUGUCGGAGACCAGCUGCAACCCCGGUGUGAUGAAGAAUGACACAAUGGCUUAAUGGUCAUAUAGGAUGGAGCAAAUUGGUGCAAAAAUUAUUGUUACCUGGCAAAACCAGAGGGUUUAAGGUUCAGUGUUGAAAGCUUUGUCUUGCAAGGGUACAGCCCUCUCAUCCUGACACUGCCAUCCUUCUCUGUCCUGAUGCUGCCUGGGUGCACUGAAGUGAUGACCUGCCAGAGGAUGGAGCACAGGAGACCAUGGAUCAGCACAUUGUACAAAGCACAACACAAAGCAAAGCCUUUUCUGCAGCUUUCAAGCUGAAGAUGGAUCAGGCCAGCGUUUCCCUGCUUGCCAGUUUCCCACAUGAGCUGGCAGUGGCUUCCCAAAUGUGGUUCUGCAAGGAGAUGUACCAGAGAAGGACAGGAUAGAGGUAAGUAAAGCUGCAGGUGAGUAACAGGGAAAUCCUGGUGAGGCAACACAUGGGUGCACAGCAAGCCUUUCAUCAUUACUGCUGCAGCAGCAGUGGCACUGCAAAAGGUGGCACCUCUAAUGGUGGAAUCUCUGGUUUCAAUGACCCUGAGUAGGUGUGCUUGGAGUGGCCACAGUGCCAUGGACAAGUGGCAUCUCCCAUGGCAGUGAAGGUGAAUUUCUGAGGCUCUGGAAAAAAGAUUAGAGGUCUCAGGGGUUUUUUUGUGAAAAUGGUUGUUUUCAGUGUGAGUUCUACUCCUGCUUGAGUAGAGGGAGGAAGGAAAAGGUCUUUGUUGAGAGCCAUGGUAAGGCAGGAUGGGAGCUGAGAUAUCCAUCUGCAAUGGAACAACCAUGGGAGCAUUCAUGUGGUGUUUCAUCAGGGCAUAAUGGGAGAUUUUGUCUAACCAUAGUCUCAUUUCUCUUAAGAGGCUGUUUCAGACCAGAGCAGAGCAUCCUUUUCUCUGGCUUUUGCCAGAUGAAAUUUGGAAGAAGAGGCUAGCAGGUGCUGGCAAAGGCUCCAGAGGUUCAUCCUGGAUCCCAGUUCCUCCAGUAUAUAAGCCCAGGGAUGAAACAUUCUGGCUCCUUUUGGGGAGCACAGCAUGUGUGAUCAGCGAUGACCCUUCCUAAUUCUUCCUAGUUUUCCUCUGGCACAGGAAAUUCUUUCUUCUUCAUGGAUUUUUACUAUCCCUGAAGUUAAAAAAAAAAAAAAAAAAAGAUGUAAAAAUUAAAGCUUUACUAUUUUGCAGAGCCAUCGCUUCUGAUCAGAAACUGAAAUCCUGCUUUGUGCUCCUUCAGUGUGGAAAUCUGUCAGCUAUCCAGACUGAAGGUUAAGAACACUGAAUGUGGGGGCUUUGUCCCAAAACGAGCUCCAUUUCCUUACCUGAAGGUGGGACAACACCGAAAUCAGAAUUUACAGCUGUAUUUCAUAUCUGCAGGUUCAGCUCUGGUGUCACUGGCAGCAGUUAUGGGAUAACCAGGUAGCAUCUCUUCAUACCCUGGAGAGACCUGGCCCUUACUAAAGGUCUUGUUUACGGACAGGGAAACUGAGUCAAAGAGCAUUGAUCCAAGUCCACAGAAAUCAGUGGCAGACCAUCCAGAGCCCCAGCAGAUCUAAUAACUUCUCCAGCUAUUACGAGCAGGAAGAAAGGGCCGGAGUGUUGUUAGGGGCAUAAUUGGAAACAGAUGGAUCACUGGAAAUUUUCUGUCCCUUCAGUGGACUUCACAUGAGGAUUUCAAAUAGUUGGUACCCAAAUUAUUUAAGGUGUGUAUUGCUGGGAGGAGGGAAUGAGCCAUGCAACUUGGAAGCUCAGUCUCAAAGACUCCUUUUGGAAGUGAAACUAAAGCUUUAUAUGCACCUGAAGCAAAAAGUCUCUCUCUCUCUCUGCAUCUGCCUGUGAAAAGGAAAAAGAAAGAGCAGCCCAUUUGUGGAUGUGUUCUUAUCGUAAUUCUGGAUUUGAAAUAUCUGUCCUUGAUUAAAGUGGGAAAUGCAAUUGCACAAGUCAUUAAUUAUUACUGAUAAACCGAAGUAGUGAUGGAGCCAAAUAAAAAUCUCCUGCCACUACAGUGGAUUUCUGAUAAAAAGACAGACCUGGGCACCUGCAGCCUAUUUGCAUUUCCCUUUCUUUGUGAAAUAUAUGCCUGAACUUCUGGCUCUCCAAACCUCCCUUGUCCUCGGAGUACAUGAUGUCUAUAGGUACGGAUCAAGAGACGUGAACUUUAUCUACAGCGAUGGCAAAAAACAGCUUUCAGUGACUGUCACACGUGACCAGCCCCAAUUAUGGCUCCUUCCUCAUGACAUCAGUAUGCAAUGGAGGAUCUCACUUUUUUUUUGCCAGAGGCAAGUGAAUACAUUAUCCAGCAGCGAGGCGUGGGGCAGGCGGCUGCGUAACUCUGGGGUGAUUUGGAUUCCACGCUCGCGUGGGGGUGUGAGCCAACCUCAGAAGUCAUUUUCACUGAUGCUGACACAUAAGGCUUCCCUCAGAGACCUGUCUAUCAAACUGCAACAUGCUAUGCAGAAAAAUUAGAUUACUCAUGCUACAAUAAAGAAGGAGAAGAUGACAAUGAUGAAAAAAAAGGAAGGACUUAUAAAUAUCACAGCUAUUUAUUAAAUGAAUAAAAAUCCCGAUGACGGGGAAAGUA